UGCAGCGCACCACGCGAGCACACCGUGCGAGGUAGAAAACGGCAUCGCGCCCCUCGCUCCUCCCUCCCUCGUCCGCCCCAAUCCCCUCCCCUCCAACCCUAGCCGCCCCGCUCCCCUCCCUCUCCACGGCGCCGCCGCCUCCUCCCCUUCUGCCCUGCUAUCCACCGUGCCGCCUCUUCCUCCUCUUCACUGCCCUCUCCAGCGGCGGCAAAGAACGGCGGCGCUCGAUCCGAUCUGCUGAAGAGAAAAGAUGAGAGAGGAAGAGAGACAAGGAAGGAGAGGAGGGAGAAAGAUCUCCCUCAUCGUCCUCGUCGCCAUCUGCCACUCCUCUGCCGUGCCCAGACCGCGGGAAGAAGCCGAGAAGGGAGGCCGGCCGGCGGCGGCCACGCUCGACAAGAUCCUCGCAUUAGCCUCAAGGGAGAGGAGGUCUACGUCCCCCGUCCGUGUGAAGGGCGCGAACCAGGGCAGUGAAGGCGCAGGGCGCGAACGAGAGGAGAAGGUUGAGCAUCCCGCCGACGACAUCGUUUCGAGCUCAAGAUGGUCUACAGAUACAUGCAACAAUUGAGGUUUCAUGUGCAAGGAAGCAAAGAAGAUGCGAGACCGUUUUUCUUUUGGAAUAGAAGAAUCAAAGGAUACACCGACCGAGUCAGUCUGAACUUCGAUUAAAUAUGAUAUGCGUGUUUACAAAUCUUUCCUUCAUGAAUAUUUUGAAACCUUCACAUUAUGCUGAUAUGUAUUUUCUGGCAGAGCAGUCUUCAACAUUGACGGUUACCAUUUUUAUUUUUUAUCUCAGCUCAUGAGAUUUCUCUACUGUCCUGACACAAAUUUACUCUAUAUGAUGAAUCCAAGGCUCAGUAUAAGGAUUUCCUGAUUUAUUAUUUGCCGCAUCUGGUGUUUCUCAUCUUAGCAUGAAUUUGAAGUGUCACCUUUUGCAUCCAAUUAAAGGUUAGAAGACAUGCCAAAUAAUGGAUACUUCUCAAUCAAAUGAACAAACAUGCUAUCCGCCGAGCUUCAAGACUGAAGGGAUAGAUAACCACAACUUCUAAUGACCUAUACCAGCGAUUGAUUGUAGCAUACUGGAUUCCUAAUGCUGACAGGAAUAGCCGCCAUGGCGAUAUUUACAGGCUGUGCACUGAGAUCGAAUAGUCUACAUCAUGCCUCUGGUCGGAACAAAUAAAAAAAAUUGUGGGCUGGACUGAAGUAUCGAAACACACUUGGGAUUUCUGUUUCCUGUAACAUUUUAUUUGGGGAGUUUGUGACUUCUAGACCUGAAUGGUUGUGCAUGGACCAGAAUAUGAAUGAAGGAUACUUUAGUAACAUUUAUGUAGAGGGCCAAUGAUGUGUGCAAGGACGGAAAGAGGCAGUCGAUCAACGCUGAAGACGUCUUCAAGGCGCUCGAUGAGAUCGAGUUCCCAGAGUUUGUAGAUCCCCUGAGGACUGCACUGUUAGGAGGUUUGGUAGGUUUGAGCAUCUGACUUAUAAUCUAGGUUGAUGGUGUUUGGCAUUAUUGGUUCAAUCCACGUGGAGGUCCUCGCCAUCAUUGCAGCUGCGGGACAAGAAGGCAAGGAGUUUGUGCGCCUGGCUUACCUCUGUACAAAAUAAACUGCAGAUACAAAAAAUGAAAAAGCAGAGCACUGUUAUUUCUCCAUACUCUGCAUCCCCAUCUGAGUCACUCUCUCUAGAAGCAGGAAUGAUUAUACUUCAACCGACCAUGCUCAGCCUAGAAUAACACCACAACAUACAGUAGUAGUUAAGCAACAAAACCUAAGCACUUCCCGUCAUUGUUUGCUUUCUCAUGUUUUUGUUUGCUUCAUUGUGUUCCUAUUUACUUGCAUAUAGAAGUGAGCAAAGUCGAAGUGUUUUGGGUGUUACAAAAGAUUGUGAAUAUUUUGCCUUUAUAGCUCUUUUUUUUAUUGACUCAGUUUUUAUGUAAUUUCAAAGCACUUCAGAUGUGUUAGGCUGCAGCAAGAGGCUGGAACAGAUCUUUGUGCUAUGACGAGUGUUUGCUUCAGUCAAUCCAAAAUACCUCUAAAACUACAGUUUCAUUUGUUUGUCCGGUGUACAUGAGAAGCUCCAAUUUUGUCGGGAAUAGCCACUGGAGAAAGUAGUGAUUGGGUUUAUAUGGGAUAGUUAUGUAUGUCCAUUGUGUGAUGGGAAAUACAAUGCAGUAGUUAAUUGUCACAUGGCUUCUCAAUAGUGGCUUCUCAGUAAAAAUGUUAUAUGAUGUAUGAUAGCCAUGAGUAUGAUGAUUUUUUGGAUGGGCGGUAAGCUUCCCAUGUUUGAUGUUUUUUUUACUUUUUAAAAUUGAACGAUGCUGGUGAGAAUAGUACUGUGGUGUACACUUC